UUUAUUAGUCUCACCUCUUUUGGUCAUAUAUUUCUCAUUUUAAAUGAUGUUCUAAAUGUUUGCUUUCAGAUUAAAGGUGGGCAGAUCACUGCUCACUUGAGUGUUCGGUGAAGCAUGGGGUAUAUGACUAAGAAGUGCAUCUGCAGAAUCUCUCUGAAGUCUAUGGAAAAUGAGGGGGAAAACCAACCAUAAGAGAUUUUGUUAAUUUAUCACAGCAAAUGCUUGAAAGAUAGCUGUUAUAUAUGUUUGGAAGUCCUUAGGCAUGCCUUGGAAAUCUGAAGGAUUCAUCAGGGAAAUGAAAAUUGCUGAUUUCUCUUGUCAAUCUUCUUUCUGGAAGAAGAGUCAAAGGAUCCUAGUCAUUGACUUAAAGAAUGGAAUGGCAGGAAACACAUCUGAGACUCUUCCAUCUUUCUCCAGUUUUAAAGUCUCACCAAAAGUUGCUGAAAAACAAGCACAAGUUAAAGGAGGAAGAUGGUACAUUUCUUCCUUGCCUUAUUUUUUGUGUGGUGUUUUUGUUUUACAGGUGUUCUUUUUUCUUUUACACCACAGUUAUUUCUGGUUAAGAACAAUAAAAUUACCACAUAACAUCCUGUUCCCAUAGACCCUCACAUGUCUACUGAGAAAGGAGUGUGCUUCAUCAUCUGAGUCAUUACAAGUGAGGGCCAUUGCAAUUAAUUUCAAUUUGACUGCCUUUUAAUAUUGCUUUCACUUAUAUGAAAUAGUUAUUGUGACUGUUGUUUGGGUUCUAUUUCAGUAACUAAACAUUUCUUUUGCUCAAGUUGCCUGAUUUACCUCAAUGCUCACCCACAUUUCUUCUAAGAGUUAUAUCUGUAUAUGAGUCAGACCCUAGCUUCAGGGUAGAGAUUUGCCACAUUCUCUUUGGACAGUAAAAGUUCAAAUGUCAAAAUGUAAGUGAUUCAACCCACAUUUCUAUAUUUCUCUGUUGGGGUUAUUUUGUUUGGAAGGAGAUUGGAAAUUUAUCUUUUCACUGUGGAAGGGAUAGCCCCAAGUUGUCUGCAUUUAUUCUGAGAUUUAAACUGCAAAGAUGAUGGACUGGGGGUUAGAUAAUGGACUUCAUUCAAAUGGAUCAAUAAGUGGUAUUUAUUUAGUGGGAAGAGAGGAUAGUUUAGGUAAAAUGCCUCCGUUAUUCACAGACAAUGUCUUAAUGACCCUUGGGGGAAGGAAAUUGUCCAAGGGGUCUCUUCAUAAUAAUCUUGAGAAGAUAUUUACAGAUGAAAACAAUAUGGGGAGCAUAAUGUAGUUAAGGCAACAUUAGACUGAGUUUCAGGAGAUCUGGAUUCUUAUCUCUUGUCUACCCUUAACUAGGUGUGUGUUAACUAGGUAUGUGUCCUUAAGGACAUCAUUGAAUUUUUCUAUGCUUCAGUUCCUGCAUCUCUCAAAUGAGAGAUUUGAUGAAUGCAGAGAGCUAGGCCACAACUUGGUGUCAUAGAGAGGACUGGAUUUGGGAUCUUGCAGAUAUGGAUUUGAAGCCUACCUAUGCAGUCUUGGACAAAUCUCUCAACCUUUCUGAGCCUGUUUCCUUAUCUAUAAAAAGAAGGGUUUGGAUUUGAUUACCUUUGAAGUCUCUUCUAGAUUUAAUAUUCUAUGAUUCCCACUCAAGGUCAUUUAAAGUAUCAUUGAAAUUUUAAAAGACUAGUAACUAUAUUGUAGUAACUGAACAAUAAUAGACUUCAUUUUUUUUCAAGGAAAGGUGUUGGAGUUAAUGGAUGCAAGGACAGCAAUGAAGAAAGGAGAUGGAAUAAUAAACUCAUUUCUAUAGCACA
ensembl:lncRNA